UAGGAGGCGUCGAGCGGCGGACGGGUGAGUAAUGCAUAGGAAUCUGCCCGGUAGUGGGGGAUAACCUGGGGAAACCCAGGCUAAUACCGCAUACGCCCUACGGGGGAAAGCAGGGGAUCUUCGGACCUUGCGCUAUCGGAUGAGCCUAUGUCGGAUUAGCUAGUUGGUGAGGUAACGGCUCACCAAGGCUGCGAUCCGUAGCUGGUCUGAGAGGAUGAUCAGCCACAUCGGGACUGAGACACGGCCCGAACUCCUACGGGAGGCAGCAGUGGGGAAUAUUGGACAAUGGGCGAAAGCCUGAUCCAGCCAUGCCGCGUGUGUGAAGAAGGCCUUCGGGUUGUAAAGCACUUUCAGUGAGGAAGAAAGCCUUGAGGUUAAUACCCUCGAGGGAGGACAUCACUCACAGAAGAAGCACCGGCUAACUCCGUGCCAGCAGCCGCGGUAAUACGGAGGGUGCGAGCGUUAAUCGGAAUUACUGGGCGUAAAGCGCGCGUAGGCGGCUUGAUAAGCCGGUUGUGAAAGCCCCGGGCUCAACCUGGGAACGGCAUCCGGAACUGUCAGGCUAGAGUGCAGGAGAGGAAGGUAGAAUUCCCGGUGUAGCGGUGAAAUGCGUAGAGAUCGGGAGGAAUACCAGUGGCGAAGGCGGCCUUCUGGACUGACACUGACGCUGAGGUGCGAAAGCGUGGGUAGCAAACAGGAUUAGAUACCCUGGUAGUCCACGCCGUAAACGAUGUCGACUAGCCGUUGGGCUCCUUUGAGAGCUUUGGUGGCGCAGUUAACGGCGAUAAGUCCGACCGCCUGGGGGAGUACGGGCCGCAAGGGUUAAAACUCAAAUUGAAUUUGACGGGGGGCCCGCACCAAGCGGGGGGAAGCAUGGGGGUUUAAUUCCGAUGCAACGCCGAAGAACCUUUACCUACCCUUUGACAUCCGAGAAGAACUUUCCAGAGAUGGAUUGGUGCCUUCGGGAGCUCUCAGACAGGUGCUGCAUGGCUGUCGUCAGCUCGUGUUGUGAAAUGUUGGGUUAAGUCCCGUAACGAGCGCAACCCUUGUCCCUAUUUGCCAGCGAUUCGGUCGGGAACUCUAGGGAGACUGCCGGUGACAAACCGGAGGAAGGUGGGGACGACGUCAAGUCAUCAUGGCCCUUACGGGUAGGGCUACACACGUGCUACAAUGGCCGGUACAAUGGGUUGCGAAUCCGCGAGGUGGAGCUAAUCCCAUAAAGCCGGUCUCAGUCCGGAUCGGAGUCUGCAACUCGACUCCGUGAAGUCGGAAUCGCUAGUAAUCGUGAAUCAGAAUGUCACGGUGAAUACGUUCCCGGGCCUUGUACACACCGCCCGUCACACCAUGGGAGUGGACUGCACCAGA
rnacentral:rRNA from 1 species